UCUUUCUCUCUUCGUUCAUUCUCUUUGUUUUUGCCUCACCUCUGCGUUCUUGGGUGAUAUUUAGGGAGAAUAGGAAGGAGAGGGAUGAUGAGGUUUGGAUUUUGUUAGAUCAAAAGGUGUUGGGGUGAUUAGCGUGAUCUUCUCUGUUUCUUUCUGUGUUUGUUCUUGGCUGGGCUUUUCGCAUCUAAAGAUUCUUCGGUGUGUGAUUGAUUUGUGGUAGGAGAGGUAGAGUGAUUGUGGAGGAAAUGGAAGAAGAAUUGACAGCAGAAGAUUAACAGGCUGCAUCAUAUUUUUGUGUGGAUAGAGAUAUUCUUUGGAGGCUCUACAAAGAAUACGACUUUAGAGAGGAGAGGAAUCCUUCUUGCUUGAAAGACGGAGAAGGAAGAAGAGAGGAGCUUUUGUUUGCUUGAAAGAAAAGAACUGGAAGGGAUUUCAAUAAACAAAAACGGGAGGUGGUAGUAUUGCUCUGUUCUCUGAUUUUUGGAUUGUUGUUCUUUGCUUCCUUGAUGCAGUUGCCUUUCUCUUGAGGUAUGAAUAUCAGAAGAGAUCAGAGACGAGAACUUCUCCCUCUUGCCACCUGUCCUAUCUUUCAAGAUCAGCAUUGCAGAUUAGCAUAGAGAGAGCUUGAACAUCAACUUCAACUUCAGCUAUUACUUUGCAAGUUUGAUGGAUGAAUUUGAAUUUACCUAUUCAGAUUUUUUGUUAAAACUUAAUAAAAUGAAAACUGUUCGUCUUUUAUUUUUAUUUUUUUCCUGAUGAGAUCUAUGUUUACUCAGGGUUCUAAAAAUCGGCCUAGGCGGCCGCCUAGGCUCUAGGCACAUCAGUUCCAUUCCGAUUUCCCCCUAGUCGAGCGAGCUGGGCGCUGGGGAUAAAGUCGGCCGCCUAGGUGGGGCUGAGCGGUCCUGGGUGGGGGCUGGGCGGUCGGCGCCUAAGCGUUUGGGUUUUUUUUUUUUUUUUUUUUUUUUUUUUUUUUCUCUUAACCAAAACGCGAAGAUAGGUGAGAGAACCCUAUUUUCUGGGUUGAAAGUCAAAACUCAAAACGCGAAACGCUCCGUCGCUCUCUCUUUUGGGUUUCGUCGCUCCGUCGCUCUCUCUCUAUCCUACAGGCUCUCUCUCGAUCAGUCGAUUGACUCGAUUCUCAGUCGCUCUCCGGCCAGCUCUUUAGCUCUCCAACUCGCAAGGCUUUCUGGGUUUGAUUUUGGGUUGGAUUUCUGGGUUCAAGGCUUCAAGCUCGGUGAUUCUUCAACCUCGAAGCUUGGUGAUUCUUCAUUCUUCAAGCUCGAUUUCUGGGUUCAAUUGGUGAUUCUUCAAGCUCGAUUUAUGGGUUUUGGAUUCGGUGUUUCUGCAAGCUCGGUUAGUCUUGUUAAGUUGCUGGGCAUUGAGUGAUUUCACUGAUUUGAGUCAUAAUUGAAGUGAUUCUGGCAUUCUGCAAGCUCGCAGUGAGAUUUCAGAGAGAGACGGCAGGCAGCUAGCAAUCCAGACAAAAAGCCCCGCAAGGAAGGAAGCACUGAAUUAGCAACAUCAUCCACAAACACUAUGAACAAGGAAAAAAUGGACUGAAAUAUCAUGUCACUUUUUGCGUAAAUAGAAAUGGAGGCAGCAACUUUUUGGACAACCUCCACAGCUAAUCAUCACUAGGCUAACAACCUCUCAGCAACUGACGUCACUUUUGAUAUAGUCACUAGGUUAGUCUAUAAGUAGAUCACUGUAUUUUGGAGAAGCUGUUUUAACAGCAUUUGUAAUAUAUAUUUGAACAUUACCAGAACAUCUAUAUUAAUGGUAAUGUUAGCUCCUGAUAUGGAGCAUGAAUCGAUGUAUUUUUGAGAAGCUGUUUUAACAGCAGUUGUUUUAUAUAUAUUAACUAAAUGUU
rnacentral:lncRNA from 1 species